UCUCCACAUUUUUUUUGAAAAACAAUUUCUGCAACAAAGAAUCAGAGUUGAAGAUCCAGAUCCACGAUGUCUUUCUCUCCAAGAUGGGUUUGAGCCGAAUCAGAAGCUGGAGUUGGAGGAGUUGUUUAAGGAAGGUGAUUUGGUUGAUGUUUCUGGUACCACCAUUGGCAAAGGGUUUCAAGGCGGUAUAAAGAGGCAUAACAUCAAAAGAGGUCCAUGGGUCAAAGAGUUAUCGGGCUCUUGGUUCAAUCGGAGCAGCAACAACGCCUGGGCGUCUGUACAAAGGGAAGAAAAUGCCUGGUCAAAUGGGAGGAACAAAAACCAAGAUCCGAAAACUUAAGAUUGUCAAAAUCGUCACUGAUUUGUUUGUUGUGAUUAAGAAAUAGGUGGUACUUAGUUGGAUUAUCCUUGUUAGUAUGUUAAUGACAUUUUCGGUAGUAUGUACUUGUUGAUGUUUGGCUGAAUAUGAGAAUUUUCUAUGUUAUGGAU
rnacentral:lncRNA from 1 species